AGGGAAUCUUCGGCAAUGGACGGAAGUCUGACCGAGCAACGCCGCGUGAGUGAAGAAGGUUUUCGGAUCGUAAAGCUCUGUUGUAAGAGAAGAACGAGUGUGAGAGUGGAAAGUUCACACUGUGACGGUAUCUUACCAGAAAGGGACGGCUAACUACGUGCCAGCAGCCGCGGUAAUACGUAGGUCCCGAGCGUUGUCCGGAUUUAUUGGGCGUAAAGCGAGCGCAGGCGGUUAGAUAAGUCUGAAGUUAAAGGCUGUGGCUUAACCAUAGUAGGCUUUGGAAACUGUUUAACUUGAGUGCAAGAGGGGAGAGUGGAAUUCCAUGUGUAGCGGUGAAAUGCGUAGAUAUAUGGAGGAACACCGGUGGCGAAAGCGGCUCUCUGGCUUGUAACUGACGCUGAGGCUCGAAAGCGUGAGGAGCAAACAGGAUUAGAUACCCUGGUAGUCCACGCCGUAAACGAUGAGUGCUAGGUGUUAGACCCUUUCCGGGGUUUAGUGCCGUAGCUAACGCAUUAAGCACUCCGCCUGGGGAGUACGACCGCAAGGUUG
rnacentral:rRNA from 1 species